rnacentral:sRNA from 1 species
ACUGCCACACAUGCCAACAGGACCGCAGAUCCGGGUUCCAGCCACUGCCACACAGACCAAAGUAGUGCCCCAGACAGUAAUGGCCACUGUGCCAGUCAAAGCGCAGACUACGGCAGCCACUGUGCAGCGGCCUGGACCUGGGCAGACAGGGCUCACGGUGACAAGUCUCCCUGCCACAACCAGCCCUGUGAGUAAGCCAGCCACGAGUUCUCCUGGGACCUCUGCUCCCAGUGCCUCCACGGCUGCCGUCAUUCAAAACGUCACAGGACAGAACAUCAUCAAGCAGGUAGGUGGGGCUCUUUCCAGGUGGAUCUCAAUCCUUCAUCCUGGAGUAGGGACCACUGGAGCUGGAGGUUCUUGGCCAGACUGCAUGCCCAUGGGAAGAAGAUUUGUCAUCUUCGACUCUCAGCUUAUAGAUACUUAGGCGUGAGUUCCCACCAAAGGCAGUGCAGCCUUUAUAGAUGCUGAAGAGAUUUCUUCUGUUUUGUUCCAUUUAAUUCAGCAUUUAGUAGUCGAGUUUCUGGAUUUAGAAUAGACUGUUCAUGAAUUUAUUUAGUUAAAUUCUCGUGGCCAUA